rnacentral:rRNA from 1 species
AUGAAAAUAGACAUGGUCUGCGACGACGACAUUAAGCCAUUGCAACGGCAGAAGGUAUGCGUGAUCGGGGCCGGGAUGGCCGGGUUGGCGUCAGCCCGCGAGCUGCGGCGGGAGGGCCACGACGUGACGGUGCUGGAGCAGAGCGGCGACGUGGGCGGGCAGUGGCGGUACGAUCCGAUGACUGACGGCGCAGACCCGCUCGGUGCCGCGGCGGCGCCGGUGAAGGUGCACGGCAGCAUGUAUGCGUCCCUCCGCCUGAUCAGCGCCCGGGAGACCAUGGGGUUCACCGACUUCCAGUUCGCGCCCAAGGACGGCCGCGACGUCCGCCGCUUCCCUGGUCACCGCGAGGUGUACCUCUACCUCAAGGACUUCUGCGACGCGUUCGGGCUCAUGGAGCUCGUCAGGCUCAACACCGGCGUCGUGCGUGUCGCCUUGGCGCCAGGUCCGAUUCCGACGCGGCAAUGGAUGGUGAGGUCCGUCGAUCUCGGCAAGUCCGAUGGUGCCGAGGAGGUGGAGGAGGAGUUCGAUGCCGUCGUGGUGGCCAACGGCCACUACUCGCAGCCGAGAUUGCCAAGCAUCGUAGGCAUGGAGGUGUGGAGGGGGAGGCAGGUGCACAGCCACUCGUACAGGGUGCCGGAGCCGUUCCGCGACGAGGUGGUGGUGGUGGUUGGGUGCGGCGCGAGCGGCAAGGACAUCGCCAUGGAGGUCCGCAGGGUCGCCAAGGAGGUGCACCUGGUCGCCAAGUCCAUGGAGGAGGUAACCCAGGAGCUCGCCAAGGUGCUCUCCAAGUACAGCGCCAGCCUGCACCUACAACUUCACGUGGAGCGGCUGUGCGAGGACGGGCGGGUGGUGUUCGGCGACGGCUCCAGUAUCCUCGCCGACACCAUCAUCUACUGCACAGGGUUCAAUUACUCUUUCCCGUUCCUGGAUACGGAGGGAGCGGUCACCGUCGACGACAACUGCGUGGGCCCGCUUUUCGAGCAUGUGUUCCCGCCGUCGCUGGCGCCGUCGCUCUCCUUCGUCGGUAUACCCGUAAAGGUAUUUGCGCCUUGGUUCUUUGAGGCUCAGGCGAAAUGGGUGGCGCAGGUGCUGUCCGGCAAGAGAACGCUGCCCCCGGAGGAGGAGAUGGUGCGGUCCGUGGAGGAGUACUACCGCGCCAGGGAGGCCGCCGGCGCGCCCAAGAAUUACACCCACGACGUCAGCUUGUUUGACACCACGGCACUGACUACUACACACAACCUGCACGACAAUCGGACGAUCUUCAUGGAUGAGUUCGUGAGCAAGUACUGCGACUUCCGUAGCGUGGAGAAAUGGCGUUACGAGUUGCUGGUGUCGUCGUUAGUCAACAUGUUCGACAACCUCGAGACCUUCCGCGAUGAGUACCAAGACAGCGACUCCAUCCGCAAGGGUGUGGAGGAGUGGCACUUGUCUGCACAACGGGCCCAAGCUGCUGCUGCUGGACCUGCUACUACGAAAGAACAAUCACUUGGUCUUCUCGAACAAGUAGAGUGA